rnacentral:rRNA from 1 species
AUUGAACGCUGGCGGAAUGCUUUACACAUGCAAGUCGAGCGGCAGCACGGGGGCAACCCUGGUGGCGAGCGGCGAACGGGUGAGUAACACAUCGGAACAUGCCCAGUCGUGGGGGAUAACACUUCGAAAGAAGUGCUAAUACCGCAUACGUCCUGCGGGAGAAAGCGGGGGAUCGCAGGACCUCGCGCGAUUGGAGUGGCCGAUGUCAGAUUAGCUAGUUGGUGGGGUAAGGGCCUACCAAGGAAACGAUCUGUAGCUGGUCUGAGAGGAUGAUCAGCCACACUGGGACUGAGACACGGCCCAGACUCCUACGGGAGGCAGCAGUGGGGAAUUUUGGACAAUGGGGGCAACCCUGAUCCAGCCAUUCCGCGUGAGUGAAGAAGGCCUUCGGGUUGUAAAGCUCUUUCGGCAGGAACGAAACGGUGAGCUCUAACAUAGCUUGCUAAUGACGGUACCUGAAAAAGAAGCACCGGCUAACUACGUG